GCCAGAUGGACUAGUGGUUAAGACAGCUGAUUGUAUUGGCUGAAGCAGCUGAGGUCCCGGGUUCAACUCCCUGUCAGGGCA